rnacentral:misc_RNA from 1 species
CGAACUGCGAUAAGUAAUGUGAAUUGCAGAAUUCAGUGAAUCAUCGAGUCUUUGAACGCACAUUGCGCCCCCUGGCAUUCCGGGGGGCAUGCCUGUCCGAGCGUCAUUGCUGCCCUUCAAGCCCGGCUUGUGUGUUGGGUCGUCGUCCCCUCCGGGGGACGGGCCCGAAAGGCAGCGGCGGCACCGCGUCCGGUCCUCGAGCGUAUGGGCUUUGUCACCCGCUCGAUAAGGACCGGCCGGGCGCCAGCCGGCGUCUCCAACCUUUUUUUCUCAGGUUGACCUCGGAUCAGGUAGGGAUACCCGCUGAACUUAAGC